AGCUCAAAUUUGUAAUCUGGCGGUCUCUGGCCGUCCGAGUUGUAAUCUGUAGAGGCGUCGUCUGCGUCGGCCCGUGUACAAGUCUCCUGGAAUGGGGCGUCAUAGAGGGUGAGAAUCCCGUCGAUGACACGGAUGACCGAUGCUUUGCGAGGUGCCCUCGAAGAGUCGCGUUGUUUGGGAAUGCAGCGCAAAAUGGGUGGUAAAUUCCAUCUAAGGCUAAAUAUUGGCGAGAGACCGAUAGCGAACAAGUACCGUGAGGGAAAGAUGAAAAGCACUUUGAAAAGAGAGUUAAACAGUACGUGAAAUUGUUGAAAGGGAAACGCUUGAGGUCAGUCGCGUCUGGAGNCACUCAGCCAUGCUUCGGCUUGGUGUACUUGCCUUCGGACGGGUCAACAUCAAUUUUGGCUGGUGGAUAAGGGUGAGGGGAAUGUAGCGUCAUUUAGGUGGCGUGUUAUAGCCUCUNGUCGAAUACAUCAGUUGGGAUUGAGGACUGCAGCACGCCCUUGUGGCCGGAGGUUCGCCUCACGCAACGUGCUUAGGAUGUUGGCAUAAUGGCUUUAAGCGACCCGUCUUGAAACACGGACCAAGGAGUCUAACAUGCUUGCGAGUGUUUAGGUGGAAAACCUUUGCGCGCAAUGAAAGUGAAAGUUGGGAGCCUCUGUGAAAGGAGGUGCACCGACGCCCGGCCCUGACGUUCUCUGACGGUGCUGCGGUAGAGCAAGCAUGUUGGGACCCGAAAGAUGGUGAACUAUGCCUGAAUAGGGCGAAGCCAGAGGAAACUCUGGUGGAGGCUCGUAGCGA
rnacentral:rRNA from 1 species